rnacentral:misc_RNA from 1 species
AAGAAUCCCUGGGGUUUACACCGGUGGCCCUUGGGAAAGUGCCCAUGCUACUUUCUAUGGUGGCAGCGACGCCUCUGGAACUAUGGGUGGUGCUUGUGGGUAUGGGAACCUUUACAGCCAAGGGUAUGGAGUGAACACAGCAGCGUUGAGCACAGCUCUCUUCAACAAUGGUCUCAGUUGCGGUGCUUGCUUUGAAAUCAAAUGUGCAAAUGAUCCCAGAUGGUGCAAUCCUGGUAGCCCAUCCAUCUUCAUAACCGCCACCAACUUCUGUCCUCCAAACUUCGCUCUGCCCAGCGACAAUGGUGGGUGGUGCAACCCACCUCGUCCCCAUUUCGAUCUCGCCAUGCCCAUGUUCCUCAAGAUCGCCGAGUACCGCGCUGGAAUAGUCCCCGUGGCAUACCGCCGGAUACCAUGCAGGAAGCAAGGCGGAAUUAGAUUCACGAUAAAUGGAUUCCGUUACUUCAAUCUGGUUCUGAUCACGAACGUUGCAGGUGCAGGGGAUAUAGUGAAGGUGAGCAUCAAGGGAUCAAAAACAGGGUGGCUGACCAUGAGCAGGAAUUGGGGGCAAAAUUGGCAAUCAAAUGCAGUGCUUGUGGGGCAGUCUCUUUCGUUUAGGGUCACGGGCAGUGAUAGGCGCACAUCUACUUCCUGGAACAUCGCACCACCUAAUUGGCAGUUCGGUCAGACCUUCACGGGAAAGAAUUUCCGCAUCUAAUUUACCUUCCCAUGAUUUUAUUUUCAAAUCAAUUUUUUCUUUGAACUUUAUGGACUAUAUUAAUGUUUCCCUCCUUCGAUUUUCCUAAAUUUUCUCGGGAAAAUUUGAUAUGGGGGUAAAGAAAAGUAGAUAUGGGGAUUUUGGUUGUGGACAGGGGAAAGGGGAAAAGUGUUGUCUGUGGUAGCCUUUUUCUUUAUACUAUGGACUCCGUGUUUUGGAGAAAGGGGUGGGUGUUUACUUUUUCACUGUUUACUGUGUUAGUUGGUGAAAAUGUUUAAGAAGCUGAAGCGGCUGCACUAAGGAAAAACAUGUAGCCCGCAGCCUCUUGAGUAAUUCAGUCUCAAGUCUCUAGAUUGUCCUGUUCCUACUUCCUAGUAAU